rnacentral:rRNA from 1 species
ACCUCUUUCAGCAGGGAAGAAGCGCAAGUGACGGUACCUGCAGAAGAAGCGCCGGCUAACUACGUGCCAGCAGCCGCGGUAAUACGUAGGGCGCAAGCGUUGUCCGGAAUUAUUGGGCGUAAAGCGCGCGCAGGCGGCCUUUUAAGUCUGAUGUGAAAGCCCCCGGCUCAACCGGGGAGGGUCAUUGGAAACUGGAAGGCUUGAGUACAGAAGAGAAGAGUGGAAUUCCAUGUGUAGCGGUGAAAUGCGUAGAGAUGUGGAGGAACACCAGUGGCGAAGGCGACUCUUUGGUCUGUAACUGACGCUGAGGCGCGAAAGCGUGGGGAGCAAACAGGAUUAGAUACCCUGGUAGUCCACGCCGUAAACGAUGAGUGCUAGGUGUUGGGGGGUUUCCGCCCCUCAGUGCUGAAGCUAACGCAUUAAGCACUCCGCCUGGGGAGUACGGCCGCAAGGUUAAAACUCAAAGGAAUUGACGGGGACCCGCACAAGCGGUGGAUGAUGUGGUUUAAUUCGAUGCAACGCGAAAAACCUUACCUACCCUUGACAUGCCAGGAAUCCUGCAGAGAUGUGGGAGUGCUCGAAAGAGAACCUGGACACAGGUGCUGCAUGGCCGUCGUCAGCUCGUGUCGUGAGAUGUUGGGUUAAGUCCCGCAACGAGCGCAACCCUUGUCAUUAGUUGCUACAUUUAGUUGGGCACUCUAAUGAGACUGCCGGUGACAAACCGGAGGAAGGUGGGGAUGACGUCAAGUCCUCAUGGCCCUUAUAGGUGGGGCUACACACGUCAUACAAUGGCCGGGACAGAGGGCUGCCAACCCGCGAGGGGGAGCUAAUCCCAGAAACCCGGUCGUAGUCCGGAUCGCAGUCUGCAACUCGACUGCGUGAAGUCGGAAUCGCUAGUAAUCGCGGAUCAGCUUGCCGCGGUGAAUACGUUCCCGGGUCUUGUACACACCGCCCGUCACACCAUGGGAGCGGGUUCUGCCAGAAGUAGUUAGCCUAACCGCAAGGAGGGC